AGUAAUUAGCCUCCAAUUAAAAUUUUAAAACAUAUUAUAAAAUAAUUUUUUCAGCUGGUAUAGAAAUAGAGUUUUUCUCCCCUCUAAUAUUUGGCAGAAAUUAGCUAAGCCCUUCUUCCCUCAUCAUUCAAGCCUUAAACAGAGUGGAAAAUAUGGGGGAGGCACAGGUAAGCCAUGGUCAUGUGAGAGAGAAUCCAGGUCACUGUUUCAGACUCGGUUUUCAGCUCACUGACAGUUAUUUAAGGAAUGUUCAUGAGGCUUGCUGUUUCUAGGACACAUUUGUGUUCAGUGUGGCCCUGGGCUAGGUCAGAAGGGAAGACAUGGUUCUAAGAAUCAAAGGAAGACAAACACUGAUGUUUAUUCUUUUUUAAUUUUGUUUUUAAUUUCUGUCACUGCUUCAGCAAUGCAGAACACCCAUGAAGGAGGAUGUUUUGCAAAGUGUAUUAAGCCAUUGAAGGCCCUGAGGAGAAAGCAGACAAAUCCAACAAGUCCUUCAAGGAGACAUCACACUGUGUGCAGACUCUGUUGCUUAGCCCUCCUAGGACAAGCAUGAAUUCAAGACCUUCUCCAGCACGCUUAUUAGAGUCCAGUACUUGGUGACUAGACUUCAAACCGUCCUUUUCCACUAGAAGUGAAGCUUCAGGGACUUCUCUGGUGACCUGGUGCCUGAGACUCCACGCUUCUAUUUAGGGGAUCCAGGUUCGAUCCAUGGUUGGGGAACUGGACCCCAAAUACCACAACCAAGAGUCCUCAUGCCACAUCUAAAGAUCCCACAUGCUACAGCUAAAGAUUCCACAAGCUGCAACGAAGAUGGAAGAAGAUCUGCUAUGCCAGAAUUAAGACCCAGUGCAGCCAGAUAAGUAAUAAACAUUUAUUAAGAAAAAAAAGUGACGCUUCAGGAUAGCAGGGACCCACAGUAGGGGAAGGAGAGGGUGGGGCAAGCUGAGAGAGUAGCAUGGAAACACAUACAUUGCCAUGUACAAAGUAGAUAGCUAACGGGGAGUUGCUGUGUAACACAGGGGGCUCAGCCCAGUGCUCUGACAGCCUGGAGGAAUGGGUUGGGGUAGGGGAUGGUCAGGAGGGAGAGGACGAAUAUAUACUUAUGGUUGAUUCAUGUUCUCGUAUGGCAGAAGCCAACACAAUGUUGUAAAGCAGUUAUCUUCCAAUUAAAAAUUUUAAAAAAGAUCAGAGACUCUUGUUUUAUUCAUACCCCCAUGCUUGACAUAGGGUCUGGCACAUGGUAGGGUACCACAGAGGUGUGUCAAAUGAACAGAUGCUUCAUGGUGCUCAUAUCCGAAAUGGAGGCAGAAGCCCAGCAGUGGCUGUGAGUCAGUCAUUCCCUCAGCACUUAUUCACUGUGUCCUCAUGACCCUUGGAUGGAGUAAAUGUACAAAGCAGACAAGUCUUUACUAUGGAGGGGCUCUGAGCAAAGGAAACCUGUCCUGAGCAGGGUUAACGCAUUGAUCAAACACUGAAAAUAAAUAAUAACGAACCUUCAGUAAAAAUUUACAUAGAUGGAAAGUGGAAAUUAUGUUAAAGGGGGCUUUGUGGGAAGUUAGACUGAGUUGAGACAGCCGUGCAGUAAAGAAGAGAGAUUCUGAAGUAUAGAGGCAGAGUAAGAAGAAGCUUAAUCAGAAAAAAAAAUAAAGAAAAUGGGCAUUUUUCAGUACAAGUAUUCUGCCAGUUAGGAGGUGUGUCCGCCUGGUGAUUUUAAUUUCUCCCUGAAGUGGGGAGUAGUAUUCAGAAAGUGGAAAGUGCCAAGUACCCUCCUUCAUCUCCUGUGUUGGGAUAGCUCUGAGAAGAGACGUGCAGGGAAAGAGUGACUCAGUGGCCAGGAGAGGAGGGAACCAGGGUGUUUCAAAGAGAUGGUGGAGAUUUCAUUAAAGCACGACUGCCUCCUUCACUUUGGAAAAUCGUGGGAAGGACAGCCGAGAGGUCAGGACACCAGGCGAGCAGAUACACAGUAACACAGGCUGGGAAACCAAGAGGCCAGCUUUUAGCUGCAUAGCCCGUGGCAGGUGAUGGAGGUCCCGGCAAGAAAAAUUAAGGAACCUUGGCCAGUUGGCUUUGUCCACACAUACAACCAUCUCACUCCACGUCUCUUUUCUCUGUGUUUUCAUUUGGACACGCAGGGAUUCUAGAAAGCCUCAAAUGAAAAGGAGGUAUGAAACAGGGCUAGGAAGUGAUUAAUAUGUGAAUAAGGCACUUGAACAAGGCAGGGUUAGGCCGAAGAGUUAAGACACUUGGGAAGGUGGGAGGAGGCAAGGAAGACGUGGGAAGAAUAAAGUUCAGGGUCAAAGAUGAUGCUGCCAAAUCUGGUACAGAUCACCAGCUGGAGUUUGGGAAAAAGGAGAUGUGGGUCAGAGAAAGACUCAGGACUGAGGAGGCUUAUGAGCUCAGAGACGAAAGGGCAGAGCUGAAAGGUCUUCCUGAAUGGGUCACCUGAGCUGGCAACCAGAGGCUGAUGCAGCCCCAGAGUUCAGAGGAGCUUGAAACUCGGAGUGAGUCCAGGCACAGAUGAGCCUGUGAAGAGCAAUGAAGCAAAGUUUUCUUUUCUCCUGAAAAGUGCCGCUGUUGUGUUUUUGGUUUGCUUAGCUGGCUGCCCACCAGAAGAAACAAAUGACAAAGAUGGCCCAUCUGCCUCAGAGGCAGUGUGGCCUGCUGGGUAGGCACAGGCGUUGUGGGCACAGGAGGUUGCUGAACAGCCUUCUGGGCUCCAAGGCUCCAUGGUGCUGUGUCACUGACCGUGGCACAGGCUCUGCUGUUCUAAGUGGUGUGUCCCCUCCCUGACAGAGGGGGUGAUAAAGGGCUUUUGUUGGCUUGAGAUAAAAUAGCCUAGACAAGGCUUUUAGUGCAUCGUGGCACUUAGAACCUUUUCUCAAGCCUCAGAUGCAGUUUUCCUUUGGUAUUUUAACAUCUCUGAUAUUAGGAUAUGCAGCAUUGAUUUCUUAGUGGUACAUAAAAUACAAUUAAUGGUGCCUUAGAUUUGAUCUGGGAGAAGGCAAUGGCACCCCACUCCAGUACUCUUGCCUGGAAAAUCCCAUGG